UCAGUAACGGCGAGUGAAGCGGCAACAGCUCAAAUUUGAAAGCCCGCGGGCGUUGUAAUUUGCAGGCGGAUGUUUUGGGGCGGGCGCUGUCUACGUUCCUUGGAACAGGACGCCGCAGAGGGUGAGAGCCCCGUGCGAUGGCGCCUUUAACCGCGUAAAACUCCGCCGACGAGUCGAGUUGUUUGGGAAUGCAGCUCCAAGUGGGUGGUAAAUUCCAUCUAAAGCUAAAUACUGGCGAGAGACCGAUAGCGAACAAGUACAGUGAUGGAAAGAUGAAAAGCACUUUGAAAAGAGAGUGAAACAGCACGUGAAAUUGUUGAAAGGGAAGGGUAUGCGAUUAGCGGCCAGCAGGAGGUGCGUUCUCGCGAAAAGGCCGUGCACCGUCUUCGGACACCGUGCGCGGAGAUGGCGAGGGGGCGCCUGAGGUCUGCGACUCGAGGUUGCUGGCGUAAUGAUUGCAUACCAC
rnacentral:rRNA from 1 species